AUAAAUACGAUGGGUGACGGUUACUAUAUUAAUAGAGGAAAAGAGAGAGUGAAUUACUUGUUCUAAUCCACUUCCCUUCCUCAGAGGUGCCCUACACCUAAAACACCAAAGCCCUCGUCUAUGACUGGCCCAGCUGGGUUAGAGGUCUCAAUGACCUUAGGCUCUCCCCCCGGUAUGAAAACCGCGAUUUUGACAGCCUCUGGCCGUGGUCACUUGCCGUAGCUGGGACUCCGCGAAGGGCCGCAGGUCCCGAUCACAGUCGAUCGGGUGGUGUCUGUCGAUGCGUUUGGGAGGCGCCUGGAAGCAAUGGUCAUGUGACUUGAUAAUACUUCACCAGGAAGCAGUUCCAAGCAAAGAUGCUAAGAAAGAAAAACCAAAAGCGCUGCGGAUGCUGUAAAUCGGGAAUAAGAACAGAAGCUUCUGGAAAAGCUCAGCAGAUCCAGCAGCAUCUGUGAAGGAAAAAAUCAUAGUUAACAUUUUGGUCCAAUGACCCUUCCACAGAACUGAUGGUGAAGCCAUAUUGCUGGAGAGACAAAGGAGAGCAACUACAAGUAGAGGAAUCAUUAAAAGUGAUCAUUACAUAGAUGGAGAUUCAAAGAGAAAUCCAGAUUGAAACAAAAAGAGGAACACAUUCUCGUGAGAAGAGAGAGCAGUUUAUUCUUAGGAGAAAGCCAGUGUUUUUCUUUGGAAGAUGAGACAAGGAGCUCUUGCGUGUGUACAGCACAUUUAAAAAGGUCUAAGACUUCAAAACUCUAAAUGGCUCAGAAAUACUAAAUAACUAAGUGGUUUCCUGAAGUAACCAAACAUUGAACCAUGCUUCAUCAAUAGAAAAUUAUCUGUGGAAAGCCACACCAUCAGGACUGUCAUGAUUUGAAGUGAAGCACUUUGUAUCUGCCCAAGGACUAUCUUUUAUAUUUUUACAUUUAUUUUUGAUUUGUGAACAAGCUUCAAAAUCUCCCCUCCCUCUACCACAUCCCAAACCAUCCCAGCUCAUCCCCACCUCCCUAACCUGUCCUUCUUCCCACUGAUCCCCUCCUCCCACCUCAAGCCCCACCCCCAUCUCCUAUCUACUAACCUCAUCCUGCCCCCUUGGCGCCUCUGUCCUCCCUGGACUGACCUAUCUCCUCCCUACCUCCCCACCUACACUCUCCUUCACUGGCUCCAUCCCUGCCUCUUUGACUUCUCUGUCUCCUCUCCAGCUAUCUUCGAUCCACCUCCCUCACUCUUCCUAUUUAUUUCAGAACCCCUUUUCCCUCCCCCCAUUUCUGAAGAAUGGUCUAGGCCGAAAUGUCAGCUUUCUUGCUGUUCUGAUGCUGCUUGGCCUGUUGUAUUCAUCCAGCUCUACACCUUGUUAUCUCAGAUUCUCCAGCAUCUACAGUUCCUACUAUCUCUGGAAAAAAAAAAAUGCUGUUUACAACGAAGGACAGAAGAAGGUACUACAGUGCUUUUAAAAGGAAUGUUACUGGAACUCACUAAGUUGCAUUUACACAGCUGCAAUGCAAACCAUUGGGAAAUAGGUAAGAGGAGCCAGUCCAGCUCUGGGGGUUUGUAUACAAGGUAAGAUGCAACAAGCAAAAGGUUACUGGUUUGUGGAGCUGUGACCAGUGGGGAAUGCCAAAGGCAUCAGGCUAACAACAAUCUGAUUUUGCUCCUGGUAGCUGAACAGUUUGAAGGUGUGGACAACAGUAGCUGAAGUCUUCAGACUGCUUAAAGGACACAUAAUGUGCCUUGUUCUCCAGUAGAUAAUAAAACCUGAAUAAAGUCUGUUUAUUUUCUCACA